AUCUUAAUAAACCGGUCGUACUCCUAGUUUCGUUGCGCGGCAGCAGUUAAGAUGCCAGAGCACUGUGGAGCAUUUUCCUGUUCUAAUCGGCAGACCAUCGCAAAUAGGGCCCGGGGGAUUACUUUUAACAAGUCAGAUCUUGUCACCGCUGCCAGUUGAAUGACCCCAUCAAGACUGUUGUGCCAGUCUUGCAUUCCAUUAAGGUAAAAGAAUCUUGGGAAGUGCUUGGUUUGGAUUUGAUUGGACCACUGCCAGAAACAGCACGCAACAACAAGUAUGUCCUUACAUGACACACCUGUACACCAAGUGGGUGAUUGCAGAACCAAUGCAAUCUAAGACAGCAGCUGAGGUGCCUGCAAUAAUAACCACAAAGUUGUACUUGUUCGGCAUGGUUAGGAAAAUCAUUACAGACCAAGGGAAGGAGUUUGUCAACAAGCUCAACAACAGCAUUUUCAGUACGCUGAAAAUCAAACAUGCUGUCUCCAGUGCUUACCAUCCCCAGACCAACGGACAGGAUGAAAGGACCAAUCAGAAUAUCAAGCGUACUCUCAGGAAGUAUGUGAAUGACAACCAUAAUGACUGGGAUCUCCACCUUCCUGCUGUGGUGUAUGGAAUCAACACUGCAAAGCAGACCAGCAGCCGCCACUGGAAGCUUCCUAUGUGAUCAGUACUACACUAGACACAGUCCCUACUUCCUCCUCUUCUAUCGACACCCACGUCUGCCAGAGUUCAUGAAUGCCUGUCCCAUGGGAGAUGAUUUUGAAGUUGCUGACCCGGAAGAUGACGUCGACGCUGGAGUCAAUAAGAUGAAACUUCUUAAUGAAACGGUUUGUAUUUGAAUAAUAAAGGUAAAUUAAGUAGUGACAUACUAUCGGAAUUAGACCUAGGCAUAGGCUGAUCUAUGUAUUUUCUUUGCUAUGAUUCUGAUUCUCUGAGCUCUUGUUAUGUCACUGUUACACUGUAUAUUUAGAGAUGUGGAUAAUGUAAUGUUUCUGGGACUGUGUGUGUCUAUGUGUGCCCAGAGUGUCACUAUCACUUUAGCAUUCUCUACCUCAGUAGAUAGCAUCACCUUGCAGGGAAUUCCUGUGGUGUCUACAUGCUGGUGGUAAGAAUGUUUAAUUUAUCAAAGCUGUUAGAUAAUAAAAUCAAAGUCUUACAGUGUUAUUUGCAUUUCACAGUAUGCUCUCAGCACCUGUACGUCAUGUCCAUUAUCAUUCACAGAGGAGGAGGUGCCAUUGAUUCACCAGUGGUGGUUGAUGGAGAGGAUUUGCCUAGAAGGUUAUGGACAGAGAUUUGCAUACUGGACAGAAGAAGCAUCCCAAGUCCUUCAGGAAACCCUUGAGCUUGUCUUUAGGGUGUCAAAAUCCACCAUCACAAAACUGUUGCCCAGCAGAAGAGUUGUGGUUGAAGAGGACACUGAUAAGUGUAAAGAGGACAUGGAAACAUUUUUGUCAUACUGUGUUGAUGAACAAGGCCUGAAGGUCAAUGCCAUGUUCCAGUGAGGGAUGGAAGCAAUUCAUUAAUUUAUUAAAUAAAUUGAAUGAAUAAAUAACUUUAUCCUGUGUGUUUCUUAAAUGCAGACAUUUGUUAAAGUAUGCUGAAAUAAGUAGAACAUAUCUUUAGAAAAUAAAAUAUUAAAUGUAAAGAAAUGCACGCACACACUUAUAUACACAUCUGUAUUUCCCAAAUGGGUUCUAACAAAUGUAAACUAUUUAGUUUAACAGCAAUUUGUGGUAUUUCAGUUAGAAUCUGUUACAUAUUUGGGUAUACAAAUAACCAAAUAUAACUCUAUAUGCACUGCUAAUUUGAACACAAUUGUUACAUAAACAAUGAAACGGCUUAAUUGCUGGGCUGCAGAGAGACCUAUCUUUGAAAGGCAGAGAUUUGCUUGUUAAAUCAGAGGGUCUGUCUCACCUAAUUUAUGCCACUCAGGCAUUGUACAUUGAUAAGCCCACGUGUAAAGUAAUCAAUGGGUUAUUAAUUACAUUUUAAUGGAAAAACAAAUACCAUUAUUUGAAAAAGUCAGUGAUACUAAAUUCUCACAAAAAGGGUGGCUUAAACUUCAUUGAUUUCAGCUCACUAAAUAACACAAUUAAAAAAAACUGGCUUAAUCGAUUCCUUAAAAACCCCACCUCUAUUUGGAAUAUUUUCCAUCAGCUUGCCUUCUCACAACUUGGUGGUGCAAUUUUAUUUUUUAUGUAAUUAUGGUAUUCAAUAAAUCCCUGUCAAGCUAUCUAACUUUCACCAACAAGUUCUUUUGGCAUGGACUAUUGGCACUAAACUUUUCUCCUCAUCUGUGUUACAUAUGGAACAAUAGGAACAUUCUAUUUAAGAAUAAAUCUUUGUUCUAUAAUUACUGGUUCAGUAAUGGAAUAUUUCAUGUAAGACAGCUCUUCAAUAAUGAAGGUUUACUUUUUAGGUAUACUGAAUUUCUUUCAGAAUAUAACAGUUAUGGAUGCUAUUCCAUCUGGCUUACACAUGAUUUUCAAAAAUAAUACUCUGUCUUAUGGGUUCAUUAUCCUCUCCUGAACCUGUAAGCACACCUAUUGGUGAGAUAUGUUUCUCUGAAAAAAAAGGAAGGAAUCAUAAAAUAAGAGCUCUAUUCCUUGAGAACAUUGUCUCUGCCCCUCCUAUAAUCUUAAAUUGGAAUGGACUCUUUGAUCAUUUAAAUUGAAAAAUAUAUGGUCUAUGCAAAAAGCUUUUUCCUCACAAAGUAAAAGAAAUAUAUUUUUAAUUAAUUCAUAAUAUUUACCCUGUCAAAAAUGUCUUAAAGAAACAUUUUAGAUCUGAUUUUGACACUAAUUGUUCUUUUUGUCAGAAUGAAAAACCUCUCUUCAUUUGUUUUGGUCUUGCAUUUAUUCUUUGCAACUUUGGGAAGAUGUUAGUUUGUUAAUCUAAAUAUCGAAGUUUUUCAAAGAAUCCUAAAACUGUUAUUUUUGAAUUUGUUGAAGCAGAUCCAAAUGCCUGCUUUAUAAUAAAUUUAAUUAUUUUCCUAUGUAGAUUUUAUAUUCAUAAAUGUAAAUAUGUUUAAUUGGAAACCUAUUUCUUUGGUAUUCUUACAAGAGAUAAAACAGUAUCCGAUUACAAAUUCAUCUUCACUUAACAAAAAAGCACUCAGAACAUGUACAAUUUGCACGGCCUACAAACAUUUUUAUUUAAUUAAUGUGUAAUUUUCUUUUAAUUUAAGUAAUUCCCACUUAUUUUCUUUUUCUUUCUUGUUUAUUAUUUUAGUUACUUUUUAGUUUGUUUCUGUUUUGAGUUAUGGUGUUGGUAAAGUAGUUUCCUUAACUAUUAUUGC